AGAGUUUGAUCCUGGCUCAGGACGAACGCUGGCGGCGUGCUUAACACAUGCAAGUCGAACGGUGAAGCCUCGGGUGGAUCAGUGGCGAACGGGUGAGUAACACGUGGGCAAUCUGCCUGCACUUCGGGACAAGCCCUGGAAACGGGGUCUAAUACCGGAUACGACCGCGGAGCGCAUGCUCUGUGGUGGAAAGCUCCGGC
rnacentral:rRNA from 1 species